GACGAACGCUGGCGGCGUGCUUAACACAUGCAAGUCGAGCGGUAAGGCCCUUUCGGGGGUACGACGAGCGGCGAACGGGUGAGUAACACGUGGGUGACCUGCCCUUAGCUCUGGGAUAAGCCUGGGAAACUGGGUCUAAUACCGGAUAUGACUCCAUAACGCAUGUUGUGGGGUGGAAAGCCUUGUGCGGCUAGGGAUGGGCCCGCGGCCUAUCAGCUUGUUGGUGGGGUGGUGGCCUACCAAGGCGACGACGGGUAGCCGGCCUGAGAGGGCGACCGGCCACACUGGGACUGAGACACGGCCCAGACUCCUACGGGAGGCAGCAGUGGGGAAUCUUGCGCAAUGGGCGAAAGCCUGACGCAGCGACGCCGCGUGGGGAUGACGGCCUCGG
rnacentral:rRNA from 1 species